UGUAAAAUGCAUUUGAUAUUUUGAUUUUCAAGGCUUAAGUUUAAUUCUUAAUAAAACAA
rnacentral:tRNA from 1 species